rnacentral:rRNA from 1 species
GUACACUCCUGCGGGAGGCAGCAGUGGGGAAUAUUGGACAAUGGGCGCAAGCCUGAUCCAGCCAUGCCGCGUGAGUGAUGAAGGCCCUAGGGUUGUAAAGCUCUUUCACCGGUGAAGAUAAUGACGGUAACCGGAGAAGAAGCCCCGGCUAACUUCGUGCCAGCAGCCGCGGUAAUACGAAGGGGGCUAGCGUUGUUCGGAUUUACUGGGCGUAAAGCGCACGUAGGCGGACUAUUAAGUCAGGGGUGAAAUCCCGGGGCUCAACCCCGGAACUGCCUUUGAUACUGGUAGUCUUGAGUUCGAGAGAGGUGAGUGGAAUUCCGAGUGUAGAGGUGAAAUUCGUAGAUAUUCGGAGGAACACCAGUGGCGAAGGCGGCUCACUGGCUCGAUACUGACGCUGAGGUGCGAAAGCGUGGGGAGCAAACAGGAUUAGAAACCCGAGUAGUCC